rnacentral:rRNA from 1 species
UACAGAGGUGGCAAGCGUUGUUCGGAAUUACUGGGCGUAAAGGGCGCGUAGGCGGUCUUCUAAGUCCUGUGUGAAAUCCCUCGGCUCAACUGAGGAACUGCACGGGAUACUGGAAGACUUGAGUUCGGGAGAGGGAAGCGGAAUUCCGGGUGUAGCGGUGAAAUGCGUAGAUAUCCGGAGGAACACCGGUGGCGAAGGCGGCUUCCUGGACCGACACUGACGCUGAGGCGCGAAAGCUAGGGGAGCAAACGGG